UACGUAGGGGGCAAGCGUUGUCCGGAAUUAUUGGGCGUAAAGAGCGUGUAGGCGGCCUUACAGGUCAGCUGUGAAAACUCGAGGCUCAACCUCGAGACGUCGGUUGAAACCGUAUGGCUAGAGUCCGGAAGAGGAGAGUGGAAUUCCCGGUGUAGCGGUGAAAUGCGCAGAUAUCGGGAAGAACACCCGUGGCGAAGGCGGCUCUCUGGGACGGUACUGACGCUGAGACGCGAAAGCAUGGGGAGCGAACAGG
rnacentral:rRNA from 1 species